rnacentral:rRNA from 1 species
AGGAUAAGUAAAUAAAUUAUAUAUUUAAAUAUAUUUUAUUUUUAGUAAUAUUUAAUGAACACUUAUAAAUUAAAAGUACUGUAAAGGAUAUAAUCAAAUCAUUUUAUAGAUAUGCUAAAUUCAUUUACCUUGUGUGUAAGGGAAUAUUAAAAUAUAAAUAAAACUUAUUUUCUUGAAAUUAUAAGAGCUAAUAUAUUAAGAAUAAAAUGUAACAUAGCUUAUCCAUAUUAUAUUAGAGGUGAUAUGCUAAGCGAGUAUAAAUAUAUCUAGUUAUUUAAGAACAUUUUAUUAUAAAUUGGCGUAAAUUUAAGGAAAUAAGCUCUUAAAUAAAUUAAUUUAAUUAAAAAUUACUAAAUAUAUAUUAAAUUAAUAAUUAAAAUAAACAAUCUUAUAAAAUAAUGAUAGUAUUAGUAAUUUUCUAUUAUUUAUAGAAGUAUAUAAAUUAAAAAUCAUUUGAUAUAAUCUUAUCAAAAUUAUAUUUAAGGAACUUUAUAUUAGAUUUCAGCCUGUGUAACAUAUACAUGGUCUCCUGAUUUUAAAUAGGAGAUCCUGCCUGCUCACUGAAAUAUUCAAGAGCGGCAGUAUUAUGACUGUACAAAGGUAGCAUAAUCAUUAGUCUUUUAAUUAACGACUGGUAUGAAAGGCAAGACUGAGAUAUAGUGCCUCAAAAAUAAUAAAUGAAUUUUUUGUUUUUGUUAAAAGGCAAAAUUGUUUGUGAGGGACAAGAAGACCCUUUUAAACUUUAAUAAUAAAUUUAUGUUUUUAUUAUAAUCACAGAUACAUAAAUUAUUUAUUUUUGCUGGGGCAGCAAAUGAAAACAUAAUUUUAUUACAUAAAAGUAUUUAGAUUACUUUAUGAACCUGUUUGAUGGAUAAAUGAAAAAGUUACUAAAGGGAUAACAGCGUAAUUUAUCUUAAAAGUUCUCAUUGCCAGAGAGGUUUGACGACCUCGAUGUUGGAUUAAGAUAGCCUAUUGGUGCAGCGAUCAAUCAGGCAGGUCUGUUCGACCUUUAAAUUCUUACAUGAUCUGAGUACAAAUCGGCGUAAGCCAGAUUGGUUUCUAUCUUUACAAUAAGAAAUAAACGGAGGAUAGUACGAAAGGGCCACCUCUAAUAAUUGAAUUAAUAUAUGCCAUGAAGUUUAUAUAAAUU